UGCGCAUGCGCCCUGGCACUCAUUUCAAACUCGAACCGGGAACGCUGCACAGAGGAAGAAGUUCGUGACGGGGACACCGCUCUGUCACAAUGAGUGAGCUGCAGGACAUCAGCCAGCACAUCGAGGAGCGGCUCUCAUCCCUACACCGCAUGCUGGAGCUGUCUGCUGUCGAGUUGCCCCAAAGAAAGAAACUUGCACAAGAAUUGGCCACACUCGAAAAACUUUUGGAGGAGUUUGAGAAAUGUUGGUCGGCAGAAAGAGCAACUGGAGCAGC